UACGUAGGGGGCUAGCGUUGUUCGGAUUCAUUGGGCGUAAAGGGUGCGUAGGCGGCGCGGUAAGUCGGGUGUGAAAUCUCGGGGCUUAACUCCGAAGCUGCAUUCGAUACUGCCGUGCUUGAGGACUGGAGAGGAGACUGGAAUUUACGGUGUAGCGGUGAAAUGCGUAGAUAUCGUAAGGAAGACCAGUGGCGAAGACGGGUCUCUGGACAGUUCCUGACGCUGAGGCACGAAGGCCAGGGGAGCAAACGGG
rnacentral:rRNA from 1 species